UUCUUGGCCAUCUGCUUCACAUCUGACUCCAAUUUCUCCAGAUCUCCUUCAUCCAUGUCAAGUUCGGGAUCUGAAGCCAUUGAUUCCAUUGAGAUUCGAGGUUCUCCGAAAACUCAAGGUUCUGUAGAAGAGAUACUAUGGAGGGUUUUUUCAAAAUUGAGGAGCGUCUUUAACUCUGAAGACUGGGACUGUGUGAUAAAAUGAUAAUAACGUUAAAAG